rnacentral:rRNA from 1 species
UACGAAGGGGGCUAGCGUUGCUCGGAAUCACUGGGCGUAAAGGGUGCGUAGGCGGGUCUUUAAGUCAGGGGUGAAAUCCUGGAGCUCAACUCCAGAACUGCCUUUGAUACUGAGGAUCUUGAGUUCGGGAGAGGUGAGUGGAACUGCGAGUGUAGAGGUGAAAUUCGUAGAUAUUCGGAAGAACACCAGUGGCGAAGGCGGCUCACUGAGCUGGUAUUGACGCUGAGGUGCGACAGCGUGGGGAGCAAACAGGA